rnacentral:rRNA from 1 species
UACGUAGGGUGCAAGCGUUAAUCGGAAUUACUGGGCGUAAAGCGUGCGCAGGCGGUUAUGUAAGACAGGUGUGAAAUCCCCGGGCUUAACCUGGGAACUGCAUUUGUGACUGCAUAGCUAGAGUACGGCAGAGGGGGAUGGAAUUCCGCGUGUAGCAGUGAAAUGCGUAGAUAUGCGGAGGAACACCGAUGGCGAAGGCAAUCCCCUGGGCCUGUACUGACGCUCAUGCACGAAAGCGUGGGGAGCAAUCAGG